GACCCAGCGACGCCGCGUGAGGGAUGAAGGUCUUCGGAUUGUAAACCUCUUUCAGUAGGGAAGAAGCGAAAGUGACGGUACCUAAAGAAGAAGCACCGGCUAACUAUGUGCCAGCAGCCGCGGUAAUACAUAGGGUGCAAGCGUUGUCCGGAAUUAUUGGGCGUAAAGAGCUCGUAGGUCGUUUGUCGCGUCGAUUGUGAAAAUCUGAGGCUCAACCUCAGACCUGCAGUCGAUACGGGCAAACUAGAGUGUGGUAGGGGAGACUGGAAUUCCUGGUGUAGCGGUGGAAUGCGCAGAUAUCAGGAGGAACACCAAUGGCGAAGGCAGGUCUCUGGGCCAUAACUGACACUGAGGAGCGAAAGUGCGGGGAGCGAACAGGAUUAGAUACCCUGGUAGUCCGCACCGUAAACGGUGGGCACUAGUUGUGGGAACCUUCCACGGUUUCCGCGACGCAGCAAACGCAUUAAGUGCCCCGCCUGGGGAGUACGAUCGCAAGAUUAAAACUCAAAGGAAUUGACGGGGCCCCGCACAAGCAGCGGAGCAUGCGGCUUAAUUCGACGCAACGCGAAGAACCUUACCAAGGCUUGACAUAUAGCGAAAAGUGGCAGAGAUGUCAUGUCCGCAAGGGCGCUAUACAGGUGGUGCAUGGUUGUCGUCAGCUCGUGUCGUGAGAUGUUGGGUUAAGUCCCGCAACGAGCGCAACCCUCGUUCUGUGUUACCAGCAUUAAGUUGGGGACUCACAGGAGACUGCCGGGGUCAACUCGGAGGAAGGU
rnacentral:rRNA from 1 species